rnacentral:rRNA from 1 species
UAGGGAAUCUUCGGCAAUGGGGGCAACCCUGACCGAGCAACGCCGCGUGAGUGAAGAAGGUUUUCGGAUCGUAAAGCUCUGUUGUAAGUCAAGAACGGGUGUGAGAGUGGAAAGUUCACACUGUGACGGUAGCUUACCAGAAAGGGACGGCUAACUACGUGCCAGCAGCCGCGGUAAUACGUAGGUCCCGAGCGUUGUCCGGAUUUAUUGGGCGUAAAGCGAGC